GGUUAAGCGACUAAGCGUACACGGUGGAUGCCCUGGCAGUCAGAGGCGAUGAAGGACGUGCUAAUCUGCGAAAAGCGUCGGUAAGGUGAUAUGAACCGUUAUAACCGGCGAUGUCCGAAUGGGGAAACCCAGUGUGAUUCGUCACACUAUCGUUAACUGAAUACAUAGGUUAACGAGGCGAACCGGGGGAACUGAAACAUCUAAGUACCCCGAGGAAAAGAAAUCAACCGAGAUUCCCCCAGUAGCGGCGAGCGAACGGGGAGCAGCCCAGAGUCUGAAUCAGCUUGUGUGUUAGUGGAACGGUCUGGAAAGUCCGACGGUACAGGGUGAUAGUCCCGUACACCAAAAUGCACAGGUUGUGAACUCGAAGAGUAGGGCGGGACACGUGGUAUCCUGUCUGAAUAUGGGGGGACCAUCCUCCAAGGCUAAAUACUCCUGACUGACCGAUAGUGAACCAGUACCGUGAGGGAAAGGCGAAAAGAACCCCGGCGAGGGGAGUGAAAAAGAACCUGAAACCGUGUACGUACAAGCAGUGGGAGCACCUUCGGGUGUGACUGCGUACCUUUUGUAUAAUGGGUCAGCGACUUAUAUUCUGUAGCAAGGUUAACCGUAUAGGGGAGCCGCAGGGAAACCGAGUCUUAACUGGGCGUUAAGUUGCAGGGUAUAGACCCGAAACCCGGUGAUCUAGCCAUGGGCAGGUUGAAGGUUGGGUAACACUAACUGGAGGACCGAACCGACUAAUGUUGAAAAAUUAGCGGAUGACUUGUGGCUGGGGGUGAAAGGCCAAUCAAACCGGGAGAUAGCUGGUUCUCCCCGAAAGCUAUUUAGGUAGCGCCUCGUGAACUCAUCUUCGGGGGUAGAGCACUGUUUCGGCUAGGGGGUCAUCCCGACUUACCAACCCGAUGCAAACUACGAAUACCGAAGAAUGUUAUCACGGGAGACACACGGCGGGUGCUAACGUCCGUCGUGAAGAGGGAAACAACCCAGACCGCCAGCUAAGGUCCCAAAGUCAUGGUUAAGUGGGAAACGAUGUGGGAAGGCACAGACAGCCAGGAUGUUGGCUUAGAAGCAGCCAUCAUUUAAAGAAAGCGUAAUAGCUCACUGGUCGAGUCGGCCUGCGCGGAAGAUGUAACGGGGCUAAACCAUGCACCGAAGCUGCGGCAGCGACACUAUGUGUUGUUGGGUAGGGGAGCGUUCUGUAAGCCUGCGAAGGUGUGCUGUGAGGCAUGCUGGAGGUAUCAGAAGUGCGAAUGCUGACAUAAGUAACGAUAAAGCGGGUGAAAAGCCCGCUCGCCGGAAGACCAAGGGUUCCUGUCCAACGUUAAUCGGGGCAGGGUGAGUCGACCCCUAAGGCGAGGCCGAAAGGCGUAGUCGAUGGGAAACAGGUUAAUAUUCCUGUACUUGGUGUUACUGCGAAGGGGGGACGGAGAAGGCUAUGUUAGCCGGGCGACGGUUGUCCCGGUUUAAGCAUGUAGGCUGGUUGUCCAGGCAAAUCCGGAUAAUCAAGGCUGAGGUGUGAUGACGAGGCACUACGGUGCUGAAGUAACAAAUGCCCUGCUUCCAGGAAAAGCCUCUAAGCAUCAGGUAACAUCAAAUCGUACCCCAAACCGACACAGGUGGUCAGGUAGAGAAUACCAAGGCGCUUGAGAGAACUCGGGUGAAGGAACUAGGCAAAAUGGUGCCGUAACUUCGGGAGAAGGCACGCUGGUGUGUAGGUGAAGCCCCUGCGGGUGGAGCUGAGACCAGUCGAAGAUACCAGCUGGCUGCAACUGUUUAUUAAAAACACAGCACUGUGCAAACACGAAAGUGGACGUAUACGGUGUGACGCCUGCCCGGUGCCGGAAGGUUAAUUGAUGGGGUUAUCCGUAAGGAGAAGCUCUUGAUCGAAGCCCCGGUAAACGGCGGCCGUAACUAUAACGGUCCUAAGGUAGCGAAAUUCCUUGUCGGGUAAGUUCCGACCUGCACGAAUGGCGUAAUGAUGGCCAGGCUGUCUCCACCCGAGACUCAGUGAAAUUGAACUCGCUGUGAAGAUGCAGUGUACCCGCGGCAAGACGGAAAGACCCCGUGAACCUUUACUAUAGCUUGACACUGAACAUUGAGCCUUGAUGUGUAGGAUAGGUGGGAGGCUUUGAAGCGUGGACGCCAGUCUGCGUGGAGCCAACCUUGAAAUACCACCCUUUAAUGUUUGAUGUUCUAACGUUGGCCCCUUACCGGGGUUGCGGACAGUGUCUGGUGGGUAGUUUGACUGGGGCGGUCUCCUCCCAAAGCGUAACGGAGGAGCACGAAGGUUAGCUAAUCCUGGUCGGACAUCAGGAGGUUAGUGCAAUGGCAUAAGCUAGCUUGACUGCGAGCGUGACGGCGCGAGCAGGUGCGAAAGCAGGUCAUAGUGAUCCGGUGGUUCUGAAUGGAAGGGCCAUCGCUCAACGGAUAAAAGGUACUCCGGGGAUAACAGGCUGAUACCGCCCAAGAGUUCAUAUCGACGGCGGUGUUUGGCACCUCGAUGUCGGCUCAUCACAUCCUGGGGCUGAAGUAGGUCCCAAGGGUAUGGCUGUUCGCCAUUUAAAGUGGUACGCGAGCUGGGUUUAGAACGUCGUGAGACAGUUCGGUCCCUAUCUGCCGUGGGCGCUGGAGAAUUGAGGGGGGCUGCUCCUAGUACGAGAGGACCGGAGUGGACGCAUCACUGGUGUUCGGGUUGUCAUGCCAAUGGCACUGCCCGGUAGCUAAAUGCGGAAGAGAUAAGUGCUGAAAGCAUCUAAGCACGAAACUUGCCCCGAGAUGAGUUCUCCCUGAGACUUUAAGUCUCCUGAAGGAACGUUGAAGACGACGACGUUGAUAGGCCGGGUGUGUAAGCGCAGCGAUGCGUUGAGCUAACCGGUACUAAUGAACCGUGAGGCUUAACCUU
rnacentral:rRNA from 1 species